CAGUCGUACCUGCGGACAAUCAGCUUUUGAGUGUGAUUAUGUGGGGCGUGAGGAGCUUAACCGCCUUCAUGUUUUGCAUAUUCGUGCACAUUUGGUGUACUUGUCCGUGUGGUGGGUUAACAUCAAUUUCGGUCGUCAUAAAAUGAUUGGAGGAAUGUAGCUUUGGUCUCGUAUCGAAGUGUUAUAGACUCUGGUAGAUGGUGACGGUUGGGGGUUGAGGGUAUUGGCAACGGACUACCCCGUUC
rnacentral:rRNA from 1 species